CCUGAGACGUCUGGCUUCUGCUUCACCGCAAACUACUCCUGAAGACCGGCUUUUUCCUUCAACCUCCAAGUGGUGUCCGUUCUGUUUCCAGUGCUCGCUACUAACUCGCAUCCUAGCUGUAACACUCACUUCACUAGCAGUCAACUGAAGAUCUCUGUGAAGCUACUGUUUUUUCACUGUUCGGUGGUAAAUGCUUACACCACUGGCAGCCAACUCCAGAACUCCAUUUAGUCACUAUUUUCUCACUGCAGACACUUACAACUAAUAUAAGAACUUGAUUAUUGAACUGUUUAUCUCACUGCCUGGCUGUGAUGCUGCUUGCAGCCAGCCUAUACUCUGCUCUAUUAUUGUUUGAUUCUCUGAGUAGGCUGGAGGAUUUUCUGGCUACACCUCUCCAACUACCUCUCAAGCGCAUCAGCAACCCAUUGACGGGCAGCAUGCUCCCUGGUCCUGACGGGCUCUGCACCUCCUCUUCCACCCUCCACUCUGCUAAGCUCACCCUGACUCCCCGGAGCAUUAUCUCAUCACCCACAUUGGUUUCACCUGCUCCUCAAUUACUCACACCUGCUUACAACAGCAUAUAGCAGCUUCUCACCCAGUGAGCCUUGGCCCAGCCAUCUAGAGCCUCAGCUUCGUGGUCCAUCCUUGAGCCUGUUCCUGCCAGUGGGUUGACCCAUGCUGCCAAUGUCACAUCCCAUCUUGUUUGUGCCAGUGGCUCAGCUGAAGUGGCUGUCGCCAUGCUUAUUCCCGAGCCUGUCCUUAGGUUGGCCAUAAGGUAGGAGAAGGAGUUGGCUUCCUCAGCUUUGCAGUGUGCUUCUGACUUGACCUACCUGGUUGAUGUCCAGCCUGAGACCCAGGCCAUUGCCAAGCCCGCUGUUCAGCCUGUUCGAAGUUGGCCUUCCUGGUCAACAUCCAGGCUGCAGCCCAAUCUGUUUGCCAGCAUGCUGCAGAGUCAGCCUCCCAGAACAGUGCUCCACCUUUGUGCCAGUCUGCUGCUCAACCUUCUCAGGAGUAGGCCUCACUCAUCAACAUCCAGUCUGCUCUAUAGUCAGUCAGCACCCCCUGUUGAUGUCCUGUCUGCUGUUCAGCCUACACCAGGGGUUCCUAAUGUGUUACCGUCCACCUUACUGUAUUCCCUUUAAAGGGGACAGUGUGCUUAAUGGAUCAUCUGCAUCUUAUAUGUUCUUUCUGUUCUAUUUUAACUCCUGUCUAAAUCCUGUGAUCUAUGCCUUGUUUUAUCCCUGGUUUAGAAAAUGUGUUAAACUCAUUGUCACUCUUCAGAUUCUGCAGACUGGCUCCUGUGGGGCCAACGUACAGUAGAGACACUGAGUGACUGAGAUGAAACUUGCUCAUUAAUUUGUUCAUGAGUGAAUUCACAAAUCUAAAAAGUGAAUUUAUUGUUUAUUCCUUAAUACUGUAUAUCAACAAACCAAC